rnacentral:tRNA from 1 species
UUUUCUUUAGUAUAAAAAGUAUAUUUAACUUCCAAUUAAAAGGUUUUAAUUAAAAGAAAAA